AUUGAACGCUGGCGGCAUGCCUUACACAUGCAAGUCGAACGGCAGCACGGGUGCUUGCACCUGGUGGCGAGUGGCGAACGGGUGAGUAAUAUAUCGGAACGAACCUUAUUGUGGGGGAUAACGCAGCGAAAGCUGUGCUAAUACCGCAUAAUCCCUAAGGGGGAAAGCGGGGGACCGUAAGGCCUCGCGCAAUUAGAGCGGCCGAUACCUGAUUAGCUAGUUGGUGAGGUAAAGGCUCACCAAGGCAACGAUCAGUAGCUGGUCUGAGAGGACGAUCAGCCACACUGGGACUGGGACACGGCCCAGACUCCUACGGGAGGCAGCAGUGGGGAAUUUUGGACAAUGGGGGCAACCCUGAUCCAGCAAUGCCGCGUGAGUGAAGAAGGCCUUCGGGUUGUAAAGCUCUUUUGUCAGGGAAGAAACAGCAGCUCUAACACAGUAUGCGAAUGACGGUACCUGAAGAAUAAGCACCGGCUAACUACGUGCCAGCCGCCGCCGUAA
rnacentral:rRNA from 1 species